CGGGGGGGGCAAGCGUUGUUCGGAAUUACUGGGCGUAAAGGGCUCGUAGGUGGCCAACUAAGUCCGACGUGAAAUCCCCAGGCUCAACCUGGGAACUGCGUCGGAUACUGGAUGGCUCGAAUUCGGGAGAGGGAUGCAGAAUUCCAGGUGUAGCGGUGAAAUGCGUAGAUAUCUGGAGGAAUACCGGUGGCGAAGGCGGCAUCCUGGACCGACAUUGACGCUGAGGAGCGAAAGCUAGGGGAGCAAACGGGAUUAGAUACCCCGGUAGUCCUAGCCCUAAACGAUGAAUGCUUGGUGUGACGGGUAUCGAUCCCUGUCGUGCCGAAGCUAACGCAUUAAGCAUUCCGCCUGGGGAGUACGGUCGCAAGGCUG
rnacentral:rRNA from 1 species